UGAGUAGACGUCUCCACAACAUUCAGUUGU
rnacentral:piRNA from 1 species